CCACAUACACCGCCACCAGUGUCUUCCAUUAUAGAACAGAGGAAAGGAGUGAGAGAGUAAGCAACCAGCUGCAGUGAAGCGUGUCGUAUAAAACUUGGAUUAAUGACAAGAGAACUAUAGAGUUGUGAAGUAAAAUUUUGGUAUCAGGGAUCAAAACACUACAACACCCAUGAGCCUCAGCUGCCAUUGUUACGGAGAAGAAGCCAGUCAGAGGUAUGAACAUCAGUGCGCCAUAGUUGCUGAAUUCAUCCAAAAUAAUCCCAGAAUGUGCUUUCCACCAGAUGUUGAACCUGCUGCAGCGAUUUGCUCCCAUUCAGCCACAUGAGCAUUAGUGAUGCCAGCCACUGAUGUCGGGCGAUAAGGCGUGGAUUGCAGUCGGUGUUCCAG